GAAAGCUCAGUUUGAGUAGAUAUCCAGUAUUCCUUCAUUGCUUGAUCAUGUUUUUGACCACUUUUUGGAGUGGAUUUCCCCGUCUUGCCUGGCCCUCAUUGGAUGUCUCUGGCUUCUGGAUUACAACCUUGUUUCUGCCUCUUGACCCAAGCCUCCUGCCUCGCCCCUGGAUCUGUCUGUCUGAGCCUGCCUCCCUGGUUUCUGACUCAGUUUCUGCCCCUUGACCACCGAGUUUUGAAUCUUCCCCGUUGGCAAUCCGACUGUUGCAAGUGUGCCUGCUGCAUUAUCAGCCCUAAUCGGCUCCUGCUGAACCAUCACCUGGCUCUGGAACUACUACUGGAUCCCUGAUCUAUUUGGAUUCUGAGAAGUGAUUCCUGGUUCCCUGAGGGUAGUCUCUUGUGUUCCGGCUUCAAAGCUUUGAAAAAACCUUUUUAACGCUGCUUUGUGUCUCAGGCUAAAAUUUUGGAUCCUUCUGUCUUGUUUGUUACGAUCUCAAUAAUAAAAAUCUUUAUUAAAGCUAUAAAACCUUUAUAACUGCU